rnacentral:rRNA from 1 species
AGAGUUUGAUCCUGGCUCAGGAUGAACGCUGGCGGCGUGCCUACCACAUGCAAGUCGAACGGACCAAAAGGGGCUUGCUCCUAAUGGUUAGUGGCGGACGGGUGAGUAACGCGUGGGUAACCUGCCGUAUACAGGGGGAUAACAGUUAGAAAUGACUGCUAAUACCGCAUAAGCGCACAGCGCCGCAUGGUGCAGUGUGAAAAGCCGAGACGGUAUACGAUGGACCCGCGUCUGAUUAGCCGGUUGGCGGGGUAACGGCCCACCAAAGCAACGAUCAGUAGCCGGCCUGAGAGGGUGGACGGCCACAUUGGGACUGAGACACGGCCCAAACUCCUACGGGAGGCAGCAGUGGGGGAUAUUGCACAAUGGGGGGAACCCUGAUGCAGCGACGCCGCGUGAGUGAAGAAGUAUUUCGGUAUGUAAAGCUCUAUCAGCAGGGAAGAAAAAAGACGGUACCUGAGUAAGAAGCACCGGCUAAAUACGUGCCAGCAGCCGCGGUAAUACGUAUGGUGCAAGCGUUAUCCGGAUUUACUGGGUGUAAAGGGAGCGUAGACGGCAUAACAAGUCUGAAGUGAAAGCCCGGGGCUCAACCGCGGGACUGCUUUGGAAACUGUGAAGCUGGAGUGCAGGAGAGGUAAGCGGAAUUCCUGGUGUAGCGGUGAAAUGCGUAGAUAUCAGGAGGAACACCGGCGGCGAAGGCGGCUUACUGGACUGUAACUGACGUUGAGGCUCGAAGGCGUGGGGAGCAAACAGGAUUAGAUACCCUGGUAGUCCACGCGGUAAACGAUGAUCACUAGGUG